UACGAAGGGGGCUAGCGUUGCUCGGAAUUACUGGGCGUAAAGGGCGCGUAGGCGGACAGUUUAGUCAGAGGUGAAAGCCCAGGGCUCAACCUUGGAAUUGCCUUUGAUACUGACUGUCUUGAGUUCGGGAGAGGUGAGUGGAAUGCCGAGUGUAGAGGUGAAAUUCGUAGAUAUCAGGAGGAACACCGGUGGUGUAGACGGCUCUCUGGACCGUAACUGACGCUGAGGCACGAAAGCGUGGGUAGCAAACAGG
rnacentral:rRNA from 1 species